GAGGCCUUGGCUUAAUUAAAGUGUCUGAGUUGCAAUCAGAAGAUGUAUAUACAGGCCUUC
rnacentral:tRNA from 1 species